rnacentral:rRNA from 1 species
CCUACGGGCGGCAGCAGUGGGGAAUAUUGCACAAUGGGGGAAACCCUGAUGCAGCGACGCCGCGUGAGCGAUGAAGUAUUUCGGUAUGUAAAGCUCUAUCAGCAGGGAAGAAAAUGACGGUACCUGACUAAGAAGCCCCGGCGAACGACGUGCCAGCAGCCGCGGUAAUACGUAGGGGGCAAGCGUUCUCCGGAUUUACUGGGUGGAAAGGGAGCGUAGACGGUCCUGCAAGCCAGAUGUGAAAGCCCGGGGCUCAACCCCGGGACUGCAUUUGGAACUGUAAGGCUAGAGUGUCGGAGAGGCAGGCGGAAUUCCUAGUGUAGCGGUGCAAUGCGUAGAUAUUAGGCGGAACCCCAGUGGCGACGGCGGCCUGCUGGACGAUGACUGACGUUGAGGCUCGAAAGCGUGGGGAGCACACAGGAUUAGAUACCCGGGUAGUC